ensembl:lncRNA
UUGUUUUUUUUUUUUUUUGGUUUUUUUUUUAAUUCCCGAAUUUCUGAGCCAUUUCCUUCUGUUCCAGCACCGAGGCUGACGAUUCAUCCCCACAAUUCCCUGGAAAACGCCUCAUUUAUUAAUUAAUUACCCAGCACUGCUGCUGCUGCUGGCAGGCCCAGCUGUCGGAGAACCCAGCUUGGAUGCAGCCCUUUUCCAGGGAUUUCUGGACAAUCCCCCCUUGCUCCUCCUCCUCCUCCUCUUGCCGCGGAUCCUUUUGUGCGGCUCCGGCUCCGUUUCCUCCCCACCUGCUCCCUUUCCCAGCAGCAAUGGAUCCAUUGUCUGGAGCUGCUUGGCUUUUCCCACCGGGAUUGCAGCUCCCUGUCAGCCUGCCCGGAACGUGGAGUAGCCAAGGAAAACAAGAAACGAGGAGGGGGGAGGAAAAAAAGGAAAGGAGAAAGUGAUUUCGCAGGAAUUUGGUGGCGCUUUGAUGAGUUUGGGCUCACCCAGCACCUUCCACCUGCUCGUCCCAUCCCUCCCACGCUUCCCACUGCACCCCAGACCUGGAUUUGGGAGCCGUGGAUUCGUUUGGCACCAGGGAAAAUCAGCUCAGAGCAGCAGGGACCAGGCUGGCCCUUCCCAGCUCAGCCCCCGCUGGGGAUUCCUGUUCCAGCAGGACUCUGGAGUUAUCCCAAACAAGCUGUUGCUUUGGGGCAACAAUCCACAAGCACGGGAAAACCUGGAUAUCAAUUCUUUCUGCACAUGGACAUGCUGCUUUAUGGAUCUGCAGGAAAAAGGGGCCGUUUAGGGCCAGAUUUUGGGGCCUGACCCUUUGUGUCAUAUUCCCAGAUGGAAGUGCCACCUCCCACAUGGUGCCUAUCCUAGCUGGGAUGAUCCAUAUAAUAUUUAAGGAUAUUUAGGAAUAUAUCUGUGCCUGGACACUGAAUUUUUAACCCUUCUGCUUUGAAAUUUAAACCUCUGGGAAAAUAAUUUGAUCUAUGGGUGUUGCCAAAGGAUUCUUUGGGUGCCCAAAAUUCCUGAGGGAUGAUCCAGCGUCAACUCUGGGCUUGUGGGUCCCCUUUUGUGCUCAGGUUUGAACCUGUGUCCUGGGAAAUGUCACCUUUUCUGAUCCAGAUGGGAAUUCCCAAAGGAAUCCUGCUCUCCCUCAUUCUCCCAGCCCUCAUUUCCUAAGGAAGAGCGGACAGGAAUCAGGAAAACCCCCCAAAAGUUUCGGAUCAGCACUGGGAGCUGAGCUGCUGACUGGGAAGCCUCAUUCCCAAUAUUCCCACUUUGCUGGCAGUGGGGAGAUUUCCCAGGAAAGCACCUCCUGCCCAGUUCAACCUCCUGGCUAUCCCAGUAUCCAACUGGUGAGCACUGGUGACCCCAUUGCUGCUGGCAGGAGAUUUUCCAGCGUCUCCACACGGCUCCUGCUCCUGCCAGAAGUGGGACACGGCCUCCAGCAGGGAGCAGGGAAGGAGCUGACCCAGCUUCACUGUGGUGUUGGCAUUUUUCUGUUGGUUCAGGCUGGGGACACACUGUCCAACGUAGGUGACAGAUAUUGGCACGUUAUUGUAAAUCCAGCACAGGUAGUUUGUGGUAUUUAAUGUUUGUACCAUCCCACUGAGGGCAGAGCCCCACACGCUGCCCUGCAGGACAGAGCUGCGGCAGGGCAGCAGAACAUGUUAGAGAUAAACAGAAUAAACAACCUUGAAACAGCACAGACCAAUUAUGUCUUCUUCUUUGGCAACAGGGCAGAAAGACAGAGACUUUUUGCAAUUUUGGAAUCAUCAAUACCACAGAUUCCAACACCCACCCAGCCCCGGGAAUCCUCUUAGGGCAGUUGCAGCGGGAUAAUCGCGUUAAGCCGCCCCGUGGUGCCGGCACAAUCCCAAAAGGGAAAGCAGAAGGUGCCGAGGAGCCGGCAAAGCCGAGCUCCUUAAGGAAUUAAGAGACAUCGGAGCUGGGAGAGCUCUGAUGGGAUCUCAGCACGAGGCUGAGCUUUGGGGUUUGUCCAUCCAGGGGAGCAAUUCCCAGGAAAUUGGUGCCGCACCAAAGCCUUCCCAGCAUGAUCCCAGAAAAACCAAAGGAAGCAAAAAAACUUCCAAUGGGAACAGAGAACUCCAUUGCUGUGCAACUCCCUAUCAUCAAAAAGCAGCUGGAAAAAAAAAUAAAAA